UAAUACGGGGGGAGCAAGCGUUGUUCGGAUUUACUGGGCGUAAAGGGCGCGUAGGCGGCGCAACAAGUCACUUGUGAAAUCUCUGGGCUCAACCCAGAGCGGCCAAGUGAUACUGUCGUGCUAGAGUGCGGAAGGGGCUACUGGAAUUCUCGGUGUAGCGGUGAAAUGCGUAGAUAUCGAGAGGAACACCUGCGGCGAAGGCGGGUAGCUGGGCCGACACUGACGCUGAGGCGCGAAAGCCAGGGGAGCGAACGGGAUUAGAUACCCCGGUAGUCCUGGCCUUAAACGAUGGAUGCUUGGUGUCCGAGGUUUCAUAGUCCUCGGGUGCCGUCGCUAACGCCUUAAGCAUCCCGCCUGGGGAGUACGGUCGCAAGACU
rnacentral:rRNA from 1 species